UUUAGAGACUAUCUCUUCUAUGCUCCACAUUUCACCAUCUACACUGAUAACAAUCCGCUGACUUACAUCAUGAGCACUGCGAAACUCAAUGCAGUUGGACAUCGCUGGGUUGGAGAACUGUUAGAGUUCCACUUCAAUAUUAAAUACAGACCUGGAAAAAACAAUAUAGACGCGGACACGCUCUCACGCAUCCCACUCGAUAUUGACAACUAUGUGGCGAAAUGCACGGAGGAGCUGUCUCAGGAUGUGCUGCAUUUGACUUGGGAAGGGAGUAGAGCAGCCCAGAGGAAAGAUGUAGCAUGGAUAGCUGCACUUUACACCUCCUCUGCUGAUGUGAUACCACAACCUCAUUCAAUCUUGCCCGAAAUAAGCCACGAAGAGCUGGCAAAAGCCCAACGAGAGGACCCUGGAAUAGGGGAAAUAAUUACAUUGAAAGAGUCAAAUAAUGUUCUUACUGAUGAGGUCAGAAGGUCAGUGAGUGGGCUCACUCGCAAACUCCUUCAUGAGUGGAAUCAACAACAUUUGGAGAAUGGAGUCUUGUACCGCCAAACACCAGAGAGAAAACAGUUAGUCCUACCCACCAAUUACCGGUCAGUUGCCCUAAAACAUCUCCAUGACAACAUGGGACACGUUGGCACAGAACGUGUGCUCCAUCUUGCCAGAGAACGUUUUUAUUGGCCACAGAUGAAGAGAUGCAUAGAGGAGUAUGUCACAAGAAAAUGCAGUUGCAUAAAACAAAAAAAACCCCACCACACAUGUACGCGCGCCAAUGGGUGGCCUGACUUCUGCUUCCCCUCUCGAUUUGGUUUGCAUAGACUACUUACAUCUGGAGAAGAAUAUCGGACACUGAUGAUGAGGAUGAGUGGACAGGAGGUUAUUGGCUGAGAACACCUGUAGUCAGGAUGGAAAAUUAUCAAGUUGGACAUGACAGAUCAGCGAUCUCAGAGAGAGAACAGAGUCCGGUGUCAAAGUCAUCUCCUACAACAGUGCCUGGUCUGACCCCAAAGAAACGGACCGUGACCCGCAAAGAAUGUCCAGGUGCAUUACUGAUGAGGGAAACUUAACAGAUGGACGCUUACUUACCAGAUGAACGAGGGACACCUGAAAGAGACUUUACACACACGGUGAGACAAACCUACCUGAAAGUGAGCACGAACAAAACACACCUGAAAAAGAGGAUAAACAAAGCUCAACAGAUAGAGAAGUGGAAUUAGUGGGAGAGGAUUUACAGACGAGUGAACAACCUGAUGUCACUUACCUACCUCAGCCUGGAGAGGAUGAGCAAAAGGAACAUGCUGAACAAGUACAGGAGGAAAGACUGAGUUAUCCUUCUAUUAUGACUUGGCCUGCAGAAGAUACACACAGAGAGGUUAGGAGGUCGACCAGAGAAAGGAGGCCGAGGCCGGUGUUCACUUAUGAAUCAUUGGGCCAACCGUCAAUACAAACCCAUGUAGAUUCUAUUUCCUCACAGAUUACCUCGCCUACCCUACCAUUCAUGCCACACAUAACCAGACAGUUUAUUCUGCCUACACCUUAUGCACCACAAAUGUACAUGCCUUACACAUAUUACAUGCCAGUCACCACACAAGUUUAUUAGGAAAAUUUUUUUUUGUUGUAACAAAUGUCAGGAGCCAUUUUUGUUUGUCGGGGUGGAUGUGACACUCAUAAAAUAAGUUUUGUUGAGAUUAUUACUUUUUGUUUCCCUUCCUUUUAUUGAAAUAGUAUUUUAUUUUAUUCUGAUUUAUAUAAUUAAAUAUUAAUGAGAGAUUACGGAAAAAGCACAUAAUGACAUGUAUUUCAUAAAAUGGACACUGGGUGGCAGUAACCAUGAGCAGCGUCACACUGGGUCAUUUAGCGAUGCGCAGAGCAAGAUGAGCUCAUAAUCCGAGUGAAUGGAGAAUGAGCAACUGUUGUCCUGCGUCACUGAUUUCUCUGUAAUAUUUGUAAUAUUUCCAGGUUAGUUACACACCUUGUAUGUGACUACAGAGGUUUAUAAGCUAAUAGGAAUUCCCGGUGACGUGUGCUCUGUAAGCUAAAAGUAUGUCAAAUGUGUAAACAGUUAAGUUUGACAGUACGCAAUUUAGAAAAUGGCGGUCGACAUUCGCAAAUUGUUUAUUUUAUUUGUACCUUAUGGCUCCGGGGCAUUUGUGAGUUAUUUCAGUGUGUGUGGAAAACAGCUAUGUGUGUAGUACAAUGUUAAAAGGGUAAAAAGUUAAUGUGAAUGUACAGCGUAAGACCAGUUACGGCUGCGGCCUUGUUUAAGGGCACAUGCACGGUAAUGUUACAAUGACACAGAUUUAGUUCAUAGAACUGAGUGCCAAGUUACGAGGCAGAUAUGUUUAUUAUUGAAGUCUGUGUUCUUAUAGUGUAAAUGUAAUACAGCUUAACUGCAAAUGAGAAUUAUUCUGUUGUAUAAAGUGAACACUUAUAAAAUGUACAGUUAUUACAAAAAUGCUCUUUUGAUAAGAGGACAAAGAUGACAGGUGUUUAAAUGAAGAAG
ensembl:lncRNA